rnacentral:rRNA from 1 species
ACAGUGGCGGACGGGUGAGUAACGCGUGAGGAACCUGCCUUUCAGAGGGGGACAACAGUUGGAAACGACUGCUAAUACCGCAUGACACAUAGAGAUCGCAUGGUUUUUAUGUCAAAGAUUUAUCGCUGAAAGAUGGCCUCGCGUCUGAUUAGCUAGUCGGUGAGGUAACGGCCUACCAAGCCGACGAUCAGUAGCCGACCUGAGAGGGUGACCGGCCACAUUGGGACUGAGACACGGCCCAAACUCCUACGGGAGGCAGCAGUGGGGAAUAUUGCACAAUGGGGGAAACCCUGAUGCAGCGACGCCGCGUGAGCGAUGAAGUAUUUCGGUAUGUAAAGCUCUAUCAGCAGGGAAGAAAAUGACGGUACCUGACUAAGAAGCACCGGCUAAAUACGUGCCAGCAGCCGCGGUAAUACGUAUGGUGCAAGCGUUAUCCGGAUUUACUGGGUGUAAAGGGAGCGUAGACGGAGUGGCAAGUCUGAUGUGAAAACCCGGGGCUCAACCCCGGGACUGCAUUGGAAACUGUCAAUCUGGAGUACCGGAGAGGUAAGCGGAAUUCCUAGUGUAGCGGUGAAAUGCGUAGAUAUUAGGAGGAACACCAGUGGCGAAGGCGGCUUACUGGGCUUUAACUGACGCUGAGGCUCGAAAGCGUGGGGAGCAAACAGGAUUAGAUACCCUGGUAGUCCACGCCGUAAACGAUGAUUACUAGGUGUGGGGGGACUGACCCCUUCCGUGCCGCAGCAAACGCAAUAAGUAAUCCACCUGGGGAGUACGACCGCAAGGUUGAAACUCAAAGGAAUUGACGGGGGCCCGCACAAGCAGUGGAGUAUGUGGAUUAAUUCGAAGCAACGCGAAGAACCUUACCAGGUCUUGACAUCGUAUGCAUAGCUCAGAGAUGAGUGAAAUCUCUUCGGAGACAUAUAGACAGGUGGUGCAUGGUUGUCGUCAGCUCGUGUCGUGAGAUGUUGGGUUAAGUCCCGCAACGAGCGCAACCCUUACUGUUAGUUGCUACGCAAGAGCACUCUAGCAGGACUGCCGUUGACAAAACGGAGGAAGGUGGGGAUGACGUCAAAUCAUCAUGCCCCUUAUGACCUGGGCCUCACACGUACUACAAUGGCUGUUAACAGAGGGAUGCAAAGCCGCGAGGUGGAGCGAACCCCUAAAAGCAGUCUUAGUUCGGAUUGUAGGCUGCAACCCGCCUACAUGAAGUCGGAAUUGCUAGUAAUCGCAGAUCAGCAUGCUGCGGUGAAUACGUUCCCGGGCCUUGCACACACCGCCCGUCA